AUGCUAAUCAGGGCAGGGUAAGUCGGCCCCUAAGGCGAGGCAGAGAUGCGUAGUCGAUGGGAAACGGGUUAAUAUUCCCGUACUUGGUAUAUCAGUGAAGGGGGGACGGAGAAAGUUAUGCAAGCCUGGCGUUGGUAGUCCAGGUGAAAGUGCGUAGGCCGUUAUCUUAGGCAAAUCCGGGAUAACAUUGGUCGAGACACGAGACGACUCACUACGGUGAGGAAGUUGCAAAUACUCUGCUUCCAGGAAAAGCCUCUAAACUUAUGAUAUAUCGAACCGUACCCCAAACCGACACAGGUGGUCAGGUAGAGAAUACUAAGGCGCUUGAGAGAACUCGGGUGAAGGAACUCGGCAAAAUCGUACCGUAACUUCGGGAGAAGGUACGCCGCUGACUG
rnacentral:rRNA from 15 species